GACAAAUAUGUUGCCAGGCGUGUUUAAGGCUGGAACCUAAGAGCUAAUCAGGCACACAAAGACCCAUUGGCACUCCUGAAAUCUAAUAGCUCCAUUUGCGAAGAUGAUUGGAUAGAAAGAGAGAGUUAAGCGUUGCCUGUGAAGGAAGAGGAAUGAAGUUAGUAAAUUCAGGGAGAAACUGUACAGGUCAGUAGGACCUUGUGGAGAGAGUUUCUGGGUACUGCUGACUUAUUACAUUUUCUACUGACUCUGACCAUUAGUAGAGUAAUAAAUCACAAAGGCACAUA